rnacentral:lncRNA from 1 species
AUUUCAAGUCCAAUUAGGUUUAAUUUUGGUCCAGGGUCAAUGUGGCUCAUUUAGGCUUGAGUCAGGGUCAGCCCAAAGUCAAUUUGGUCUCAAUUUAGUUAAACUGGUUUUGAAUUGGGCUUGAUUCAUAUUCAAUUUGGGUCUGCUGAGACUAACUCAGCUUAAUUGGGUUCGGACCCAACUCAGUUGGGCUUAAUUUGGUUCGGAUUUAACCCAAUUUAUAGUUUGGGUUCGUCCGGACUUAGUCCAAUCUGAUUGGGCUCGGUUUUAGUCAAAUUUGGCUAAACUCAUUUUUCUUUUCUUUUAUUUGAGCCUAACAGAUUCGGACCCCUACUCGGAUCAGACCCGUUAGGUCGGACCCGUUAAGGAGAUCUCUCUCUCUCUUUUCUUUUUCUUUUCUUCUUUUUCUUUUCUUCCCUCUUCCUUCCCGAACCUUCUUCUCCCAUUCUUUCUUCUUUCUUUUUCUUCUCCUCCUCUUCUCUUCUCCCGAAUUCUCCUUNNNNNNNNNNNNNNNNNNNNNNNNNNNNNNNNNNNNNNNNNNNNNNNNNNNNNNNNNNNNNNNNNNNNNNNNNNNNNNNNNNNNNNNNNNNNNNNNNNNNNNNNNNNNNNNNNNNNNNNNNNNNNNNNNNNNNNNNNNNNNNNNNNNNNNNNNNNNNNNNNNNNNNNNNNNNNNNNNNNNNNNNNNNNNNNNNNNNNNNNNNNNNNNNNNNNNNNNNNNNNNNNNNNNNNNNNNNNNNNNNNNNNNNNNNNNNNNNNNNNNNNNNNNNNNNNNNNNNNNNNNNNNNNNNNNNNNNNNNNNNNNNNNNNNNNNNNNNNNNNNNNNNNNNNNNNNNNNNNNNNNNNNNNNNNNNNNNNNNNNNNNNNNNNNNNNNNNNNNNNNNNNNNNNNNNNNNNNNNNNNNNNNNNNNNNNNNNNNNNNNNNNNNNNNNNNNNNNNNNNNNNNNNNNNNNNNNNNNNNNNNNNNNNNNNNNNNNNNNNNNNNNNNNNNNNNNNNNNNNNNNNNNNNNNNNNNNNNNNNNNNNNNNNNNNNNNNNNNNNNNNNNNNNNNNNNNNNNNNNNNNNNNNNNNNNNNNNNNNNNNNNNNNNNNNNNNNNNNNNNNNNNNNNNNNNNNNNNNNNNNNNNNNNNNNNNNNNNNNNNNNNNNNNNNNNNNNNNNNNNNNNNNNNNNNNNNNNNNNNNNNNNNNNNNNNNNNNNNNNNNNNNNNNNNNNNNNNNNNNNNNNNNNNNNNNNNNNNNNNNNNNNNNNNNNNNNNNNNNNNNNNNNNNNNNNNNNNNNNNNNNNNNNNNNNNNNNNNNNNNNNNNNNNNNNNNNNNNNNNNNNNNNNNNNNNNNNNNNNNNNNNNNNNNNNNNNNNNNNNNNNNNNNNNNNNNNNNNNNNNNNNNNNNNNNNNNNNNNNNNNNNNNNNNNNNNNNNNNNNNNNNNNNNNNNNNNNNNNNNNNNNNNNNNNNNNNNNNNNNNNNNNNNNNNNNNNNNNNNNNNNNNNNNNNNNNNNNNNNNNNNNNNNNNNNNNNNNNNNNNNNNNNNNNNNNNNNNNNNNNNNNNNNNNNNNNNNNNNNNNNNNNNNNNNNNNNNNNNNNNNNNNNNNNNNNNNNNNNNNNNNNNNNNNNNNNNNNNNNNNNNNNNNNNNNNNNNNNNNNNNNNNNNNNNNNNNNNNNNNNNNNNNNNNNNNNNNNNNNNNNNNNNNNNNNNNNNAGGCACCUAGUGCCCACAUGAGGGGGAAACACGAGGCUCCUCUGCCAGAUAUUGUCCAGUUCCGAAGCUUCACACAAGCGUCCUUCAUCCCUCCCUGAUUUUAUUUUCUACCCAAAACGCGUCUGCACAGGCUCUGGAACGAGUCUUUCCGAUGUGGAACUAUUGGGCCUCACAAUACGAGACUGCAACUGAGACUAGAUGCUUUAGUUCAUAGAUUGUCAGGGCGCUGCACCCUUGUGGUGGACAUGGAUAAAUUUAUCAUUGCUGUCAACUUGCAUUGGCAUGUACGAGUCCAUUAUUGGUCGCAGAGAAACAGUGAAUAGGGCCAAAUUGUUUUCAUAUUCUUGUAAGCAGGCCUGUGUCCAUUUAGAGGUGGAUUUCCAAUUUUACCGGUGAAUUCAUGUGGCUAUGGAAGAAUGUCCGUAUACUGGAACAUGCUUUGAUUGUUGAUCAUGCAUUUAAGUCAUGCUUUGUUGUUAUUGGCCGUAACUUAGAAUGCGUAACUUCCAUUGCAUAUUAUCUCUUAUGGGCUCUAGGAAACCCUCCUAACAGAGCAGAAUGCAUAAAACUUUGCACCAAGGGGCUGUUUGGUUGCUUGCAUCUGGCUAGCUGCAGGUGGAUAGAUGUAUGUAUCUGUUGCACCACAAGACCUUUUUGUUGCUCAAGGUACGGUCAAAACUGCUGAUCAAAGAUACGAGCUGUAGUUCCAGUCUUCCAAGAGUACUCCCACAUCCCUCUCUUAUAAAUAAUAGUACUACUAUAAUUUUAAUAAUAUCAUCGUUAGUGAUUUUUAAGCCAUUUAGUCCAUUUAAGCCAUGCAGUGGUCCAAAAAUGAGGGACAAUUUUAGAUUAAGGCCCUAUUUGGAGGAGCUAUUGGCAGUAAAGCUGUUGGAAGUAGAAAUAUUGGAAGUAGAGCUGUUAUAAAAAGCUGUUUGCUAUUUAGUAACUAAUUUUGUAAAGUGCUGUGGCACUUUAACAUGUAUUUGUUAAAUAAACUGAGAAAGUACUUUUGUAUGACAAAAUUACAAUAAAGGACAUUGCAUAGUAUUAUACGACAGAGCAUAAUAAAAUAUAACAUAUAUUAAUACAUAAAUAUAUGAUAAAGUAUGAUAUUAUUGUAAUGUAAUAUAAUAUUAUUAUAAUACAGUAAUAUAAUAUUGUAUACUAUAGAAUAAUAACUUAAUAUAAUAUUAAAUUAUUUAACAUAACAUAUCAAUAUAUUAUGAUAUAAUAUAAUUUAAUAUUAUAUUUAUAGUAUAAUACAAUAAUAAAAGUAUAAAAUAUUAUAAUUAUUAGCUUCUCAUGACUAUUUAUCUCUCUAAUAAAUUUUUUAACUAGAUGAUAAAAUUAGUUAAAUAAUUACUAUUAUUUAUUUAUUUAUUUAUUUAUUAAUUUUUUCUUUUUUUCCUCUUUUUCUUUUAUUUUUCUUUUAUUUUUCUUUUAUUUUUCUUUUCUUCUUUCUUCUUUUUCCUUUCCGAAGCUUCUCGAUCGUGGCACCCCCCUCCCCAUGCCCUCCUCCCCCUCCGUAGUCGCCGAUGACGGCGGUGGCGUCGCUAUCGCUCCCUCCCCUCUUCCAGUUCCGGUCAUCCACAAGCUGCUCGCCAUCCUCGAGCGCAUGACCGCGAGCAACCGCCUCGACCGCUGCGUCACCGCCUGCAUCGAUGUCCGGGGCUCCAAUGUCCGCACCAGCCUUCGCGUCCUCAACCUCGACUACCUCGAGAUCACCUCUGCAGCGUUCGACGACGUCCAGAGCAUCGAGCCCUACAUCGACCGUUGGGGCCGCGACCUCGAGUUCACCGUCAAGCACCUCUUUAAGGCCGAGUACAAGCUUUGCGGCGAGGUCGUCGAGCGCGCCGCCCCCCCGAAAGUCUCGGCCCCUUGCUUUGUCGAGAUCCCCGCCCAGCCUGGGGGGCGAAAGGGGGCGGCAGCGGGGGAGAGGGAGAGGGCUUUGAGGGUGACGUUGAAGAGGGGGAGGGAGGGGGAUGGGUUGGAGAGGAAGAGGCGGCAAGAUGAAGAGUUUUGGGAGAGAAAAUGUACUUUUAAAUGGUGGUAUUUUAGUAAAAAAAAUAGUUUUUCGAUAAAGCUGAAAGCAGCAUUUUUAGAAAGCUGCAAAAUGGAGCUUCUUCCAGAAAGCUGUUUUCAACUUUCUGGAAAAGCUAGAACAGCUUUCCGAAAUUUUUACCAAACAUUCUUUUUCAUCCAAAAGUACUUUUGGAGGCCAGAAAUUGCUUUUUGGCCUUUCAAAAGCUCACCCAAACAGGGCCUAAGUUUGUGUAGCUAGUACAAGGAUUCAUAUGGGCCUAUAUUUAAUCUUAUAUCGGCUUUUUGGUUGAGAUCUUUAGUUGUUACAAAUAAUACAGAGUGAAUCUGACCUAUGGCUUACGCAGAUUAGGAGACAUUGCAGCACAAACUCAUUUGAGCUGACUACGAGCUGAUUAUGAUUUUAGUGAUUCAAUUUGUGAUACUUGUGAUAGGAUGAAACUUAAACAAGAGAAAUAUGUAUGUGAAGAUUCGUAUUUAGUCCCAUAUUGGGUAUGCACAGAUAGAUCUUAACUACUUAUAUGGGUCAGAAAAUUCAAAUAAUAUAUUUUGGUUAGUCUAUCCUGAUGCUAUUUUCAUGGGUUGAGCAUGACUGACUAGUGUGAACAAAUCCUAGCAGUACAAAAGAAAAAAUUUAAAACAUAACUUUUUUUUUUUGCAGAGACAAUUAUAGAUAUGUGGGUCAGGAUUUGAAAUACGAGAAUUUGUUGAAGAGGGGAGGAAUUCCCUUCAAUAUGAAACCUUGUAUCCUUAUAAUCAAAAACUAGGAUACAUGCGCAUGCAUAUUUAGUAAGCCAAGGAAAAUAAUGAUCUAAUUAAGUAAUAAUAGUGAUAGGAUUUGAGUAAGCUUUUUUUUUGAGUAAGCAAAGGAAGGAUAUAGGCUGAGCACUUCGCCAUGCAGCAGUAUCACAGGAGGUAGAGGCCUAUAGGCCGGCAAGGGGUGCGGCCUGCAUCUCAUACCUGCUUUUCACGGAUGAUUGCUUGCUAUUGACCCGUGCGACACAGAGAUCAGCACAUACUAUUAGUGGGAUCCUGAGGAGAUAUUGUGGAGCUUCAGGUCAGAUGGUCAACUUAUCUAAGUCAGCCAUCUGUUUUAGUCUGCGGUCCGAUUCUAGGGUGAAGGCCUCCAUCAUGAGCAGUUUGGGGAUUGACAAGCAGGAAGGGACUCUUAGAUACCUUGGGGUCCCGAUCAUGGGUCGGCGCCUGCAGCGGGGGGAGUGCAUAUCUAUGGAGGCGAGCAUUAGAUGCAGGUUGGAGAGCUGGCAGGUGAGUGCGCUGUCGAUGAUGGGUAGAGUUACUCUGCUGAGGUCAGUUUUGAGUUCCAUCCCUGUUUAUUUACUAUCCAAUACACUGGUAUUGCUUACUGUGCUCCGAGACUUGGAGAGAAUGUUCAGGAGUUUCAUUUCGGGGCGUCGUGGGGAUAGAGGGGGCGUCCACUUACUGGCUUGGGAGGUCAUCUGUCAGACAACCAGUCGGGGUGGGCUGGGAGUCCACUCUCUACUCGAGCGCAGGGAGACACUGGCCACUAGGCUUACAGUUAGAUUUCUUCUGGAGCCGGAAAGUCUCUGGGCUUCUCUACUGAGAGCGAAGUAUGGGGACCCCACCACCUCGGCUACUUUCCGAGCUGGACGAGAGUCCUCCUUUAUCUAGAGAGAGAUAUGUGCUCGUGCCUCGGAGGUGCUGCCGAUGAUCCGAUGGAAGAUUGGGGAUGGUCGAGCCAUCAGCAUUCUGGAGGAUAGGUGGCUAUCGGAGGGCACAUUGCAGGAUUGGCCCACACCGAUGGACCAUGGAUGGUUGGAGGGUCACACAGUGAGUGAUUUGUUUGUCAAGGGGGAGCAGAGAUGAGAUGCAGAUAUUGUUAGACAGGUGUUUGGUGAGCAGCUUGUAGAGCGAGUGCUGACUUUAUCGAUCCCGAUAGGGAUGGCAGCAGAUAGGAGGGUAUGGAGUCUAUCCAGGCGGACGGUAGUGAGUUUCCAUGACAUAGCGCAGAUGAGAGGAGGAGCGGUGCCCCAACAUUUUGAUGGCAGCUUGAUCUGGAGACUACGUGUUCAUCCACGCGUCGCAAUGUUCCUGUGGAAGGUAGUAUGGGGCUGCCUACCCACUAGGAGCGUCCUGGCACGGCGGGGAGUGCAGAUAGCUGCAGAUUGUGGAGUAUGUCCGGAGGUGGAGGAGUCUAUAUAUCAUGUGCUAGUCGAGUGCCGCGGACUAUUCAGAUUAGGAGGUGUGCGGGGCUCUCCUAUGAUCCAGGGUAGAGGUGGCCAUCCCUUGAUGAGUUUCUGCGCUUUCUGGAGGUCCCAGGAUCAGGACCUAGGGUGGAGGAGAGAGAGGGACUCGUGUUGCCUACUUAGCCUACCAUUUCUGGUUGGACAGGAAUGCACGAGUCUUUGAGGGUCAUAGCUUGCCCCCGUGGGCGGUGGCGGCCAGGGCAUUACUGCAUGCAGAGGAGUUCUUUAGCACUGCUGCGAGUUCACCUACCGGGUUGGCCAGGGACAUCAUUAGAGAUCAUGAUUCCAGACUAGUAGCGAUGGGGGGCCAGCAGAGCUUCGAUUCAUCGGUGGUAUGUGCUGAGCUUCAAGCCGCCUGGAAGGGCAUAUCUUAUGCGAGACGGACACUUGGUGCAGACCAGAUCAUCCUCGAGGGCGACUCGGCUACUGUGAUCGACUGGAUCAGGGGUCGGGGACAUGCAGGUAAGGGCAGGCCGCUGCUUCUGGAUAUUCGCAGACUCUUGCAGGCGUGUGGCAUCCAUCAGGCUACACGCGUCUGCAAGGAAGCGAAUUGUGCAGCUGAUUGGGUCGCUUCCUAUACGGCUCACCAUUCUGAAGGCUUUGUUUGGAGGGAACGCGACGAAGUCUCUUUCUGCUUUGUUAUUUUCGGAUUUUGUUGGCCGUAUCUACACCCAUAGGGUGUGAGCCGCCGUUGUACCAAAAAAAAAGAAAGGAUAUAGAUUAGAAAACUGCAAAUUAGAGGACAAUAAUUAGAAAAUAAAAUAAAUGAAAAUAUAAAGUUUGAAAUAUAAAAUAGGAAAACAGAGUUAAUUAAAUAAAACAUAGAAUUAAAUAUAUAAAUUAAAAAUUGAGAACAAACUAGAACAUGAAUAUAAAUUCAAACAUAAGAAAUAAAAAUUAAAAAAUGAAAAUAUUUUGUUAAAAAGGAAUAAUUAUCUUUAAAUGUAUUUUAGAAAUAUUUAAAGAUAACUAGAAAUAGAAAGGAAAAAUUAUUUUAGAAAUUCGCUAGAAAUAUUUUCACGCAUCGGACACUUCAUCAUUAUUCUUGGAAAGUAUAAUGAAAAAUUAAUUUAGGAACCUAUGUUAAAUUUAUCAAAAUUAGAAAUAUCAUCAGGAAAAAACUCACCCCACGGAGGAAACUAUUCUUUAUAAUUUAAGAAAAUGUGGAAACUUUUAUUAAUUUAGGAAAUAUAAUUUAUUUAUUUAUUUUUUGUUGAGCUCUAUUUAAAUUUGACAUCCAAAACAAAAUUUGAAAAAUUAUGUGCCAGUCAGUGUCACGACGAUCGAAGCAAUCGAAAGGGCUAAUAUUUUGUUAUUUUUCAUGAUUAAUGAUAGUUUUAUUACAUCAACGGCCUAAGAUAAAUUAUUUUUCUCUCUUUUCUUUAGUUAUUCAUUUGUACUUAUUCUUAGUAAUUAUUAAAUACAUUCCAUGUAUAAUUUAUUUUUCAUUCUAUUUUCCAAAAAUAUUAUUUAUUCUUCUAUUACAUAAAUUUAUAUUUAUAUUUUUACCAUCUUUUCGUGCAUCGUGCAGACAUUAUUCUUAUAUGCCUUCAAUCACCCGAGAGAAUCAGAAUUCAAAUUUUAAAUUUUUAAAUUUAUUUUUUGAAUUCUCAAAUUAUGAUCUAGCUCAAUUUCCUCAUCAAUCCUUUCUUCUUUUUUUUCUUUUUUUUUUUUUUUGCUAAGGACCUCAUCAAUCCCUUGAGAAGAAAAAAAAAAUUAGUAUUCAAAUUUUGAAUUUUUGAGUUUUGAGUUUUGAAUUCUUGAAUUUAAUUCUUGAAUUUGCAAGUCUUGAUCCAGCUUAAUUUCCUUAUGGUACCUGCAAACCUUUAGUUAUAGUUAUUUCUUUCAAAUAAAAGAGUAAGUUUCCUAUCCCCCAAGAUAAUGGACUGUGAUAUUCUCUUGUUAGCAUUUCAAGUUGGAAUACGCUUCCAUCUAUAUGUUUUUUUAUGCGUUCACAGGUAAUAUUCCUGGAUGGAACUCUUUGUUGCUCAUCUCUUAUUUUCAAGCAUUUUUGUUAUACUUUUAGAAACUUGAUUAUGGUAUGCCGUACUGGUUUCGGUAUAAAGUAUAUCGUACCAAACCGCUUCAACAUCGGUAUUCGGUAGGAUGAUGUACCGAUAUUCGGUAUAUUAAAAAAAUUCAUAUUUUAUUAUACUGAUAUUAUGCUAUUAUGAUACCGAUAUAAAGUUCAAUAUUAAAAUGGUAAAUUUUAAACUAGACCAAGCCUAAAUCCCAUGCAACAUGAUCUCUGCGGUGCCUCGCAAUACUCUGAACCAAACUGAAAAAGGCUCGUCUGACACCUAAAUCCACUCGUCUGGAUUUUUCCUAUCAUCUGACCCCUUCCCAAAAACCAUUAUUCCUCGUUAUAAUCAAAGAAAAUCAUCACCAUUUGCUCGGCCAAGUUCUUGGACUGAACUCUCCCGAAGAAAAAAAAAACAUAAUAUCUGUCACAUCCCUCGUAGCCGUUAUUGUUUCACAUGCAUCUAAUUAUCGACGCAAACCACGGGCGACCACCGAAAGCCAUCAUAUCGUCCGGCUGCUACGUUGCAAUGAUUUCGAGAGACAGAUUCUAGCAGAAGCCGCGCUUUGCAUGUGGCUUCUUUCCCUCCGCAAUGGACGUGAAAUGGGAAAGGGACGUGUCAGGAGCUGACGGCCGGCUCUUUUGGGUCCCAUGCAGCUGCCAACCAAUGCAUGAUAAAUAAAUGGCCUGCUGCAAGGCUACUUUUUGAACGGGAAAUAUUGCCUUCGACGCAACUAAAAAAAGGAAAUGGAAAAGCCUUUUGAUCAGAUAUGUUUAUAGAAAGACUAAUAAAAUUGUAGAUUAGAUGAGAUAUGUUUAUAGGAAGAUUAAUAAAAUUGUAGAUUGGAUGGUUUCUUACAUGAUCGGUCAUCUAGACGGCAUUUUGUGGAUGCAUGGGAGAGCUGUCCAGCACUCUCCGUGAUAUAUGAUUUUUUGACUUUAUUGAGUGUCUCCUUACUCGUGUACUGUGAGGUGUCCAUCUAAAAAAGAAAAAAAGAAAAAAAAAGAAGGUACUAACUGUUGCAAAGAUGAGAUUAUUUGUAUUGGGAGCUAAUUUGGAGAAACGAUGUGCCAGAUAAGUUUUGGAGCCUAUCUAAUUCAAGGUUGCUUGGGAAAGGUCCAGCUCGACAUGGUCAUGGCCAAGUGGAUUUAUUUAUUUUUAAAAAAAUGGAUGCAGACUCCUAUCAAUUAUCACUAUCCUGCAAUGCAUUGAGUGAUGACAUGUUCCAUUAAAUCACAACAAUUCUAUUAGAGCUGCAAGCUAAUCUGGUUUCUAUCUAGAGCCGACUCAGAGCAAAUCCGGUGCAACCAAAGCCAAAUUUAUUUGAAUGAGAGUUGGAUACGAAAACAUGACCUGUUCUCAAUGUAGAUUAGAUUAUGAUUCCUAAUCCAAAUCUGAACCAGUUUUAAAUUAGUAUAAUAUACACUUCAAAACUUUCCCAAAUUUCAGAAAUUAGUCUCCUUUUCAUAAUAUAGUUAGUCAAUAUUUUGUGUUGUUAAUUAUUUAAAAAUAAAAUUUUGUGUAGAACAUAUUUUUGAUAAUGUCUACGUGAUAGAUAUCAUUAUUUAUUUUAUAGUAUAUUUACAAUAUAAUUAGAUAAUCAAUUUGUGUAUAUUUAUUAUGGUUUACGUUUAUGUUACUUUAACCCGAUUUGAUCCAAAAAUUCCGAUGGCUUGGGAAAAUUAACAUUAUAACCAAUCCAAUCCGGCCGAAGGGAGUUGGAUUAGGUAUGAAUUCAAUUUUUUUUUUUGACCUGAAUCAACUACAGAUUUGAAUUGCAUUGGCCGAUCCCUAAACCAACCUAACGCGCUUGCAGUCCUAAAAAGUUAUGAUUUAUAAUUAAAGUUUUUCUGUUUAAUUUUGAAUUAGGGGAGAUUUAAACUUUGUCAUACACUAAUACAAUUACAUUGUGAGGCUCGCCGGCCAUAUGAGCAGAGUCAGAUGAUGUACAUUUGCCGAAUUACAAGUUGCAAGUAUUGGAGUACGGAUUGCGGAUCUCAAACACUAUAAAGGCUCAACUCCUUCCCAAGUUAGCUUUCUGGGUUUAUGUCCGAACUGAGACAACCAAGUUAAGCUGCUUUUAUUUUAAUGUUAUGAUUGUUUGAUAUGUAAAUCAAGUCAUGUUGUCGUACAAAUAAUGUCAUUUAGUAGUUCCUAGUCGAGUUGUACAUCUACUACCGUGCGUUGAGAUUUUAAAAGUAAUGCCACACCUUGCGUCCAAAUCUUGGUUGGUUGAAAGGAUUGUAUCCCCAGACAUGGUUCACCUUUGAGAGUAAAUGUGCAGACACCAGCAGGAUAACAUAUGGAGCCUGUAGACUAUUGGAAUCAUGUUAAUUAGUUCUACCCAUGAGAUGCAAGUGUUUAACUAUGACUCAUGAGUUUUCUUAUAUUAAUUAGACAGACAAACAGACAGAGAGAGAGAGAGAGAGAGAGAUCGAGCAAAAGCAAAACCCUUCAUAAGCAUAGGUUUAAAUCCCGUUCUAUGUUACUUGAUUUAGAUAUGUUGGUAGGUGAUUAGUGGAUGUUCUUACAAUGGAAGCAAUUUUUGAACUGGAGUAAACUUUGAUGAUGUGUCAAACAUCUGUAAGGUGAUUUAUGGGGCUCACAAGCGACGCCAACCAUGUUAAAAGGGAUUAAUGGCAAAGACUCUUCACACCAUCCGGGGUAAAGAAACAUUAGAUUGCUUCAUUCCACAUUAUCAAACUUAUCCUGUUGCUGGGCUCGGGGAAGCAAAGAUUAUCCGGCACAUUCAGCAAGCUUUGAUCAAGAUCUUCAAGGCCAGCAUGAGGAUUUUUCUCCUGCUCUAGCUCAGUUCAUUAUUGUGGAUGCAGGGAGAAUUCCCUUCAUUCGGAUGUAGAGAUUUCCUCUCUGUUACCAUUUUUAUUUUUAAAGGGAUAUAUCUAGCUAAGAUUAUUGUGCAUUGUGGGUCCUAUCAUGCUUGAUAGCUAAGUUGCUCUCCUAAUGUUAUGGACCCAUUGUACCUUACUACAAGAAACAGACUGUGUUGAAUGAGGUAGGGUUUUAGUUUUUCUCGAUCAAGAUGUACUAGGCUUCUUUUUUUUUUUCGCUCUAAUGCAAAUAUUUUAGUUUGGAGCCAUGGUUUCAAAUUCAAGUUCCCUAUCACAUUAAUUCAGCUAUCCAAGAACCUAUUUGUAGCUAGGCUUGAAUAAAAGCUUACAGAAUAGAUCGAGAAACACUCGACGGAAUUAUUUUUUUCUCAAGAUACAAAUGGAUUUACUUAGAACACAGUAUUCUCACUAUAAGUGAUUGCGAGCGAAAUAUUUUCCAUUGUCAUUGGCUCCAUUUGUAUAUUUAUUCUUUUUAUUUCUCUCUUUUCUUUGUACCCUACUCUACUUCAUCUGUCUAUCUUGUAUCAAAAAAUAUAAAUAUGUUUUUCUUUAAAUAAAUACACCUCUCCUGAUUGAAUCUUGUUCAAUCCCUACAUCAAAAGAAUUAAGAAAACCAGAAGAUAAGGCGAAUAAGCAUUCAAUAAUCUAUCUAAACGAUGGAAUUGUUAAACUUGAAUGACGCCAUGCCUAAAGCACAAAGACAUAAAACCUGAAUUGCAUAUGGCCCUUUCAACAUCCGUUUGCACCUCAUAGACAUCCCCAUUUGGUUGUGUGGGCCUCGAAUUUGCAUGACCAAUCUAUUAAUUGUUACCAAGUGGAGAUCAGAAUCAGGUGGUCUUCUUUUGGGACCAACAAGGAAGGCACGAAAGGACAUGGUUUCAGUCUAGUCAACCACAAACUAGUCAGGUUUUGUGUCUCACAGCGAGAGAUGGUGGAUCCCACAUCAACAGCCAUCCAUGAAAGAAUUGAUAGGAAAGGCAAUCAUUUUCAAUAUGUUUAGUGCGCUCAUAAAAAUAUCUUGUUGUAACCAAUUUGGAUAGCACUUUAAUUGUUCCAGUGAAGAAUGAUGGCAUUGGAAUAUUUAAUUCCUAUAUCUUCCAAUAGCCAAUGUAACCUAAUAAGCUUCAAAAUAGUGUAUGCAUGAUACUCUGCUUUAGUACUGGAUCCAAUAUUAACUGUUUGCUUCUUGUUUCACCAAAAUAUGGGAGAAUCUUUCAAAAAGAAAUAAUAGCUAAUAAUAAAAUGUCCAUCAGUAGCAUCACCUACUUAAUUAACAUUCGAGCAUGCACAUAAGUCAAGAGAUGAGUGUGCAAAAAAAUAGAGAUCAUGAAAUAAUGUACUCUUACUGUAACAAAGAAUGCAGAGCACAGCUGCAUAGUAGGUGGUGAAUGAUGCUGACAAAAACUAACUAGUUGAACAACACCUACAAUGUCAAGAUGGAUGACAGUCAAAUAAACUAAAUCCAACCUCUAGUCAAAUCAGCUUUGGAAAUUAAAUCAAAAGCAUACCUAAUCUGAGAAAGAUAAUAUCAAUUAAGGCCAGAGGAGACAUCAAGACUAAGGAAAUAACUAAGAGGAUCAAAAUCUUUCAUUUUAAAAUGCUGACUGAGAUAUUGUUCAAGGUCAGAAGUACUUGCAAGAUUAUCAACUCGUGAUAAUUAUAUCAUCCACAUAUAGUAGUAAAAGAAUAGUCCCUAAAGUUGCCCGGUGAACAAAAAGUGUAGAAUUAUACGGAUUGGAAGUGAAGCCAAACUAAUCAAUAGUAGUACUAGGUUUAGCGAACCAUGCUCAUAGAGUUUGCUUGAGACUAUAUAAAGCUCUUCGAAGUCUGUGGCCUUUGUUUAGAAGAUGAUCAAGACUAGGAGAAGGCUGUAUGUAUACUUUUCCAGAAAGAUUGACAUUUAGAAAUGUAUUUUUUAUAUCCAUUUGAUACAAUCCUCAUUUCCAUACAGCUGCUACUGCUAAGCAAGCUCUGAAAAUGAAAGUUAAACAAGCAAUUGGUGCAAAAGUCAUCUCAUAAUCAAUACCAUAUUUUUGUGUAAAGCUUUUUGCCAUAAGACGUGCUUUAUACUGCUUCACAGACCCAUCUGAUCGUGCAUUGAUUUUAUAAAUUAUUUACAACCUAUAGCAAACUUAUCAGGUGGUAGAUCAACCAAAUCCAAAGUAUGAGUUUUAUCCCAUGCUCGCAAUUUUUCUACCAUUGUUUGCUGCCAAAUAGGAUCAGUAUUAGCCUCAUGAUAGGACUAAGGCUCAUGUAAGAAAAUAAAAGCAGAAAAAUAGUGAUAAUCAUCAAGAUGAAUAUCUGGUUCUCUUACCCAAGUAAAAUGGUGAAGUAAUGGAGGAGAAGAAGAUGGUGGACAUGGCUUGGUAGUUGGUAGAGUAGGAAUGAUCAUUGUCAGGAUCAUCUAAUGGAGCUGACACUUCAGGGGAAGACAUAGGAGUGACAUUGGCAGAAUCUUAUAAAAACAACUCAAUAGAAGGAUUAAUAAAAAGCUGAAGUUGAGAUGUGAGAGGGGUAUGAAACUGUGAUAUAGUGGAGAAUAUUUUAUGCUCUCAGAAAAAAUAUGGCGAUAUAGGAAGCUGCUUUAAAAUAUGAUUCCAACAUUCGCAUCCGUUGUGUUUUAUUCCAUAUCCAAAGAAACAACACAAUCGCAUACCAGAUUCUAGUUUAGUGCAUUCAUAAGGUUGAACUUAUAGUAUAUUUAUAUCGAGUCGCCUCCAAUAUUAAAAGAACCGUGAGCAGAAUCUUCCGGAAACAAUUCAAUGGAAGGAUUAAUAAAAAGCCGAAGAUGAGAUGUAAGAGGGGCAUGAAAUUGUGAUGUAGUGGAGAAUAUUCUAUGCUCUCAGAAAAAAUAUGGCGAGAGAUACAUGAAGCCGCUCUUAAACAUGAUUCCAACAUUGGCAUCUUUUGUGUUCUAUUGCAUAUCCAAAGAAACAACACAAUCGCAUACCAGAUUCCAAUUUAGUGUGUUCAUAAGGUUGAAUUUAUAGUGUAUUUACAUCGAGUCUCCUCCAAUAUUAAUUUAUCCUUUCAGCAUCCGUUUGUACCUCAUAAACAUCCCCAUUUUGCUGUGUGGGUCUCAAAUUUGUAUGAUCAAUCUAUUUUUACCAAGCUGGAGAUCAUGGUACGGUGGUCUCCUCUCUUUUUUCUUUCUUUAAUUUUUUUGCUUCUUCUUCUUUCUUUUUUUUUUUUUUUUUCUUUUCUUUAUUUCAGCGGGCGCCUCACAGCAUACGAGUACGGACGCACCCAAUAAAAUCAAAAAAUAAAAUAUCGCGGAGAGCCCUAGGCAGCUCUCCCUCCUGCAUCUAUAAAGUACCGCUUGAGUGACGUGGUCUCCCUUUGAGGCCAAUAAAGAAGGCAGAAAACAAAACGGUAUAGUUUCCGUCUAGUCUGGUUUUGGGUUCGACACAAAUAAUGGUGGAUCCCACGUCAAUAGCCAUAUAUGAAAGAACUAAUUACGACUCAUUUGGUUUGCCAAAAAAUUAUUCUUCACUGAAAUAUUUUUUCUAAAAAAUUAAUAUCUGAAUAUAUAAUUGAAAAAAAAAUAAUUUUUUUAUGUUGAGUUAAAUAUAAAAAAUAGUAUAUUUAAGAAUAACCAAUAUUUAAUAGAGCAUUUAUUUUUCUUAAAAAAUUGCGUAAAAUAUCUGUUAUGUCUUUAAUAAACAAAAAGUUUUAUCUAUCUAAGAGCUCUUUUGAAAAAAAAAUAUUUUAAUUUUCAACUCAUAGAAAUCAAACUUUUUAAUAUUCCACAUCAUUUUUUAUAAAAUAUAUAAAUUUUAUUUUAUAAAAAAUAUUUUUUAAAAAAUUAUAUAUAUAUAUAUUCAGAAACCAAACCAGCCCUUAGAGAAUUUGGGGACGUCAUUCUUUGCUGGAGAUUGUGUGAUCCGUGAUGUCCUGCCCCACUCUUUCCAUGUCCUUUUCUCUUCUUUUUAGCUUUUUGCGCAUGAUAUUGAUAGGCAAAAGCCUCUCCUGUGGGGCAAAGUUUGUGAUGGGUUGUCACGAGAUUAGGAGAGGAACAAGCAAAGAAUACCACACCAUGCUUUGCCACCUUUUUCUCCCCGUCACCCAAAUCCAACCUCUUCCCAACCCUGUCCACACUUGCCACCUCAUCUUUCGACUUGGGCGAAAGUUGGGUUUCCAACUACUGCUUGGAUCUUUGUUACCUACUCUAAGAUUGUGUGGUUUUUUAAUACUUGGGAGAUAACGACGACAUCUAUAACUUCGUCUUGGAAAAGAUAGAUGAAACACGGAUUACAACUCAUACUAAACCUUUUAUAGAUUCAUAGUAAGGUCAUAAUAAAAAAGAGCACGGUAAAGCGCACAACCUUUGGCACUAUGAAUUGAAUGAAAGUUUUUAGUUCAUAUUAUUGGCUCAUGCACAUAGGCUUAGCCAUAAUGGUUACUAUAACUCCAAAACUGACUUUUAUUUCCUCAUUAUAGCCUUUUGUAGCUCUUUCCAUAGCUUACUAUUGAUUAUAGGUACAAUAAUAUUAUACCGCCAUCUUCCCACCUGCCAAUUUUGUGCACCUAUAAGUUACUUUGAGGGUGUAAGUUGGGUCCAACACUUAAAGACUAUGUCAUCCAACAAAUUGGGUCUCGUAUACUCUUCCUUUCUAGAAAUUCAAAAGCAUUACCUUUUUAAAGUUUUUUAAUUUUUUAUGUCCACAAUCAGGAGCUCUAUGUAAUGCAUGGUGUAUAUAAGUGUUCGAUUGACAUUUUCUUCUACGCAUUAUGCUGUUAAUAUUCUAUUGUUUGAAUAAAAAGUUAAAAUCCAACUCAUAACUUGCUGAAAAAAAGAAUCUCUUGUACAAUUGGCGUAGUGCCUAACCCACGAGUUCUAAUUGGAUAUAUAUUAUUUACAACAUUUAAUAAAAUGGAAGCAUUGAACGAUGAUUCUUGCCGACCAAAUAAUAGACCAUAUCUUGGACUAUCGGCCGAAACCUAAAAGGCUACAUAUCAAUGUUUUAAUUUAGGUUUGUUUUCUUGAUUUUUUUUCCUCUUUUGAUCACUUUUUUAUAUGCUAUAACAUGAAACUUUAUUGACAUGGAGUCAUUGCUCAUCGAGGAGCUCAUCAACACAUUAUUUUCUUUUUUUUUUUUGUUUAGUGAUGCAUAAUUUUAUUGAUGAUUGAGUUUGGCAUGCAUCACUACUAGAUCUCACCAAACAUUCUAUAGUGGGGGAUGCCUAUAGUGGAGCAAGCUUAUAUAUUUGUGCCACAUGGAAGAAUAAUAAGAUGCUAUCUGGUGGUUGAGGGUUGCAUACUUUCAGAUGCUUUUCUGCCUGAAAGCAUACUUUAGAUACUUUGCUUCAACAGCCUUAGCUUUCAGGAAACACCAAAUCUUAAUCAUAUAUCACGCUAUUUAGAACCGGCGGUCCUCCUAAUCAUCAAAACCCAUAUCCAGCUACCCGAUUUUCACGUGAGAUUCACGUGCAUGCCAUUAAGUGGAAGAACACGGACAUCAAGGUGGCCCCACUGGCCGGAGCGUUUUCACAUUCUCCAAAGCGAUAUUAUCGCAGUGAUUACUUCCAAGACGGGGACGGGACCUUGGGAGGACCAAUGCAUCCAUCUCAAUGUUAAGACAAGUAGAUAGCCAAUGAGAGCUCUCCACCUCUUAGAUUAGUAUUAUCCGGGUAUUAAUCUAGUAACGACGUUUACCUAAAUUCCCGGAAAAUUGCCCUAGUUUGAGUGUUUAAACAAUAUCUUUGUAUCUUAAGUAUAAAAUAUGUUCCGAUCCAUUGUUAAAUGCUUGUUGAUUCCUAAUACUCGUUUUUAGCACAACAUUACAUUCACAUCUUUCCUCUAAGGUUCAACUCUUACCAACAAAAAAAAAAAUAGCUAAACCUAGUCUUCACCUAGUUAUACAUGCAUUCGUUUAGCAGCUUUUUAAUUUAAAUGAUACAAAUUUUUGUACCAAUAAUGGCAUAGCUUUUACAUUAAAAAGAAAAGAAGAUGUGAUUUCCUCUAAAUUCAAACCUCAUAAUUCUUCCUUGUCCUUUGAUCCAUAUAACUUCUAUUAAGCCAGCUAGCCUAUGUUUAGCAUACCUUUUAUCUACGUUACGGUCCUUAUUCUUCAUCAACUUUUGUUAUAUUGUGGGCUUUUAGGAUUCCCAUUGUUUCCGACACCUACUCAUCAUUGAAUCCAGCCAAUUUUGAACUAACUAUGAGGGUAUCCAUUGAUACCUAUCCUUUUGGUGUGUCAUGACUUACCGUGGUAUGUUUCAGGGACAAAGAGAUAAAUAUGAAAAAAACAAAUUGAAGGUAUCCAUAAGUGCAUAGGAAAACUUUCACAAAUAUAUAUAUAGGCAGCUUGAUGACUCAGCAUUCAACCAACUCUGUUGUACUGUAGCAAAUCUAUGCUGAUCCUCUCAUAUCACAGGGCAUGGAGAACAUUCCAUCUGAAAAUAACGAGUCUAUAACAUUCCUGAAAGGAGCAGGAAUCCAUCAUUAAAGAGAAAACUACUUAAUUACUGACCAAAAAAAAGAGAUAACUAGUUAAUUCAAUAGUUACAUAUUUCUAUAACAUUUGUAUCUUAUAAGCAUAUCAUUCAUGACAGAGGCAAAAAAUCAUCUGUAUGAGAGUAUUGAUUGCCCAUCCAUGAGUAAAAUGAGAGUGGCACGAUGAAAAGCCUUCGUAACGGUCACUAGUCAGAGCCCCAACGGUCAAAAACACCAUUCGAACUCUCCUAAUCUGCAGUAAAUUCCAAAUUUAGUUGGAGGGACGAGGAUAUAUUUGGAAUAUAGUUUGCAAUAAAUUCCGAGAACAGUUGAGGGGGUGGUGGGCAUUCUGGGAAUAAAGUCGCGCACCCAAAACCAGAAAGGCGCACAAUAGGGUCAUAUUCGGAAUAAAAUACAGAAAUAUUGCCAAGAUAAUUAAAAGGUUGUCAUUUUUAGGCCUGGCCUCUAGUAAAUGCAGUCACUGGUACGCUUUAUAUUCCAAUCUCUCUUCCUCUCUUUCCCCUAACAAAGCGGCGAGGAGAGGAACAGGAGAAGAGAGGAACGAGAGAGAGAGAGAGAGAGAGAGAGAGAGAGGAGGGAGGGAGGNNNNNNNNNNNNNNNNNNNNGAGAGAGAGAGAGAGAGAGAGAGAGAGAGAGAGAGAGAGAGAGAGAGAGAGAGNGNGNGNAGAGGGGGGAUGCAGAGGCGCAGAACGAGGACGAGAAGGCUGUCCAUCCUGCGGUGGCUGCUAACUUGCGCCAUCAGCAUGAUUGCGUUGGGGGUGCUGCUGGCCGUACACGUAUCUCCCUUCCCCAGUGUCCGUUCCUUCUCGGACGUUCGCAAGCUUCCCAAGGUCUGGCCUUUUCUCUAUCCGAUUUUUUUUUUAAUCUUGAGUUCGGUAUAUUUGUCUCGAAUUUUAUCAUCCUCUGGAUUGAAAAUCAAGUUUUUAAGAUUUUUUUCUUAAAUUAUAUCGCUACACCGAUUCCAAAAAUUGUUUUGUUCUUUUUUAUUUUGUUGUUUUUGCAUUUAUCUCUGAUUUUGAUAUUAAAGUAUCUGCUGUUCUUGGAAAAAAGUUUUUUUGGGGGGUCAAUCAGAGGGUUUGUGGAUCGUUUUAGUCAAAUAUGUAUUUUUUCUUUUUUUUUGGCUUUGUCUGUAAUUUUGACAUUGAAACAUCUUCUUUGAUGGAAAAAGUUGUGUUUUUGGGUCUAUAAAAUGAUUCAUGGACUGAUUUGGAGAUAAAAAUAUUUUCCUUUUUUUUGAGUUUUAGUGAUAUUGAUACCAUCAUACUAAGGUUAUCUCCGGAAAACUUCAAUUUUUUUUGGGCCUGUGAAACGACUUUUGCAGUGUUUUGGAUAUGAAUUUAUGUUAACUCAUGGUUUGAGGGAUUUUUGUUCAGCAACCGGAGAUGGGAUACCGAGGAUGGAGCAACGAGCUUAGCUGGAUGCUAGAAUCUGCACCGCCCCACUUCUCCAGAUUGCUCACUUCUUCUCAGAAGGUGGUACAUGAUCAUAUCACUCACUCGCAGCCCAUCCAAUCAUUAAUUCUGAGUCUUGUUUUAUAAAAUAUCUCUUCUAUUUGAUGCCGAGAUUUUGCCUUUAUAUGCUGUUAAUUGAGAAAGCAUUGAUCGGAUUCAUGGGUAUUGUUCUGAUAAUUUGAAAGCGAAGCAGUCAUGCCAUCUCUUUCAUUGUUUUCACUCCUCUAGAUUUGACAGUUGGAUGGCAUGAGUGAUGGUAUGUCGCGAUUCGAGAAGCUGUGGAAACCUCCAUCGAACCGUGGUUUUGUGCCGUGUGUGGCGCCUAGCUCAUCACAUUCGCGUAAGAGGGCUACAACAAUGUCAAAUUUGAGUUUUUCUUCCUCUGUUAACUUUUCUCUUAGAAAUUUGUUUCAUCUAUUGGUGCGUUGUGUUUCAGCUCCCGAGGAAUCAAGAGGUUACUUGCUGGUCAGCACCAAUGGUGGGUUGAACCAGAUGCGGGCCGGGGUAAGAUACUCUCUCUCUCUGUUAUCCGUGUUACAUCACAGGCUGAAUCGAAGUCUAGUAUCUAAUUGGUAUCGUGUCUAGAUGUUUAUAAAAUAGAAACUGAGGGAAUUGGCAUUAGAAAUCUUGUAUUUGACUACAUAUCAUACAGUGUUGACUUUGGUGGUUGCUAAGUUGUUCAACUAUGUCACCAACCAUUUGUACUUUGAGAUGUCUAGUAGAGGUGACAUGAAUAUGAGAUACAGAUAAUGUUAUACUGCUUUGAAUAUGAUAGAUAGCAUUGUUAAUAUUUGAAUAAAACGUCAUCGCUCCUUUUGGUAUUAUCUGUGUCACAGGGUGUGUUUUUCAUAUGAAGUCUUUUUUUUCCUCUGUUUGUUUUAGAAAUUCAUUUGACUUGUGAAUCAUGUUGCACACUGCAUGUCAAAUAGUUGCAAAGUCCCUAGUUGAGUUUGAUAUCAUGAAGGAUGGGUUAUAUUUCUCUUGCAAGUGCUUAAACUAGAUCAGGACCCCAUGCUGCAACUGGUGAACUCCAAAUGUGGUAUAUGGUCUAUCAGAUUGUUAAUCUCUGUGUAUUUAGGAAUUAGUUAUAGACCACCUCAUAUGCUGCAGCUUGCUCAUCGGUGCCCGUAUAUCAGUGGAUGCAUCACUUGUUGUCACAUGCCAUUGCAUAUCAUCUUUCAAUGCCCUUUAAACAAUUAAUUCCUGAUUAGAGAUGACCAUGUCCGCAUGAUAAGUUUUGCUGAUAAAUAUCUUUUUAUUUUCCAUUUUAAAAAGAGACACGAUGUUAUACAAAGGUCAAUAGCAUGUCCAAUAACCACAGUGGCCCGCUGAGUUACAAAAUUUAACCACUUAGCUGAAUUGACUAGGUGUAUAAGCUUCAGAAGUCAUUCUGACCUGUACUUAUUGAAGACUCAGAUGGUACAAAUGAAGUUGACUUCACUUACUCAGACAGGUCAUAUAUGCUAUGUAGUUAAACUAAAUUUACAUAAUACUUUUUGAUUGAUAAUUAGGGGGAAAACUAUUAAAAAUGACAAACCAUGUGUCUCUUUUUUUAAUAUAUUUUUCCUCUAUAUAUUGAUGAAAAAGAGACACCAUCCCAUGGUGGUGAAUGAAGUUGGCUAUUUAAGUUUAGCUCAAGAAAUAGUCUCCUGAUUCAGGGACUAAAACUAAAAGCUUGGAAUGUAAUACUUCUUCUAUUUUUCCCUCUCUUGACAAUUACAUGUAAUUGUUCUUUAGUUGAUCAGCAUGUAGCGUGAUGCCUGGACCUGAUAGAUGAGAUCUGAGGUAGUUGCUGUGCUUCAGUGAAAACCAAGCAGCCUGUAUAUUGUCCGUUCACCAAUCAUCUUGACUAUAAAGCUAGCAUCAUUUUAUGCAUGCCUGAUAAGAUGUCUCUAAAGAUGAAUUAACCAUUUUAAUUGACAAAGGAAAAAUUCUAGAGUAGGCAGCAUACUAAUGGAGAUAUCAAGCCUAUUUUGUCCAUUUGGCUUUAAAGACCACCUAACUUUGCUUACAAGAAACCAAUCUUUAAAUUCUAGUCGGACGGGGGCGUCCCCACCAUCUUGUCCCAUUCUUGUGAGAAAAUUGGAUAGGGAUGGGGACAGGACUUUGAAACCCGUCCAUGUGGGUAAAGAAAAAGAAAGAGUACAGAAAGCAAUGAAGGAAAGAAGAAGAAAAAGAAGAAAGGAAGGAAGGAAAGAAGAAGAAAAUGAAGGAAAGAAAGGAAGGUAGGGAGAAGAAAGGAAAGGAAGUAAAGAAGGAAGAAAGGAAUGAAAGAAGAAUGAAAAGGAAAAAAGGAGAAGGAAAAGGAAAGAAAGGAAGGAAGGAAGCGAAAAGAAAAAAAAGGAAGAAAGGAAGAAGGGAAAGAAAGAAGAAGAAAAAAGAAAGUAAUAAAGAGUGAAAGGAAGAAGAAAAGGAAGAUGAAACGGAAAGAAAGAAAUGAAGGAAAGAAGGAAGGAAGGAAAAAAGGGGCAAAGAAAGAAAGAAAUAAAGGAAAGAAGGAGGGAGGGAUGGAGGGUACCUACUGGCCUCGUCCUUCUAUUUUGAAUCAAUAUCCCCAUGAUCUGGUAAAGUGCAACCAUAGUUGCAAUAUUUGAGUUACUCAAAUCCAUGGUGGGCCUCUAAUCCUCCUAUUUCCUAAGGAAAAUGAAGUUACCGAAAUUCACUGGCAGGAUCAUUUACUAUUUCUAAAUAAUCACAUUUGUCUUGAAUUUUGUAAUUAUUCCUGAAUAACAGUUUGUUAACUGCUAUUAUUGUAGUUGUCUCACCAAUGUCUACUAGUUUUGCGUGCACUUCUGUAAAUAUAUUUCCAAUAUUUAAGUAAAAGUUAUUUUUACUUAUUUUUUCUUCUUCAAAUUCCUUUAAGAUUUGCUUGGUCUUUUGGCUUUUUCAGUUUCAAAAUUUUAUCUAAAUAAGGUGCCAGAGAAUUUUAUUAGCUGGAAGCACUUCAAAGUUUCUUGCUUGUCAGAUAAAAGCUGACUUUUCUGCUAGCAAAAAUGAUCCAAGUAAUUGUUCUAGGCCGAGUGAGGAGAAAGCUUUAGCCUCUGUUGAGGCUUUUUGUAGCCAAUGUGACAACCAUAUAAAAGAUGGACUUGCUUUUAGUGUGGAUAACAAGUUCUCAUAAUAUUGUAUUAAGAGUGGCCUUUUCCGAUUUGGAGUUAAAACCUACAAUCUUAACUGCAUUAAAGUCAUAGAUCAUGCUUGUACUGAUGAAUCUUCAAAAGUUUCUUGAAACAACUUUGCAGGAUGGUGAUGACUUUGGGGUUACUGAACAUUAGUUGACUAACAGAAUAUAGCUAAUUUAUCCCUUUUUAUAUCAUGUAAUGGAAUUGGCCAUAGACUGAUAGAUAUGCAAGGAAAAAAAGGGCCAGAUGAGAUAUCAUUUCAUACACCAUCGUUACCACCUAAUAAACACCUUUUUUCCCCUUUACACUCUGAAACUACUACAUGCUUUCUCUAUCUAUUGCUCAACCUCUUGGUUGUUUGCUCACCAUGACAUCAGAAGAGAUGCCAGAGAUAUUGAUACCUCUAUGGCAUGGGGGAUGGCAUUCUGAUAUGACAGAAAACUUUUGUCUCAUAUUGUUGCAAAAUUGCUGGAUAAACUUUCUGCAACUUUAUAUUUGUUCUCUACAUCUUUCAAUUCUACAUCAUGCUGUGCGCUAUGUCAUAUUGUGCAGUAUGUCAGCAGGGAUAUCUGCUGCAUAUGUCCAUACAUCUUUCCUUUAAUAUUACUAUUGUUAUUGCAAACCAUUCAGUCCUGUUAAGGGUACUGUCUAAUUUUUAUGACUUUAUCUUCCUUAAAAAAUAUUUAAUACUUUUGAUAGUUGAAAACACUCUCUGAUUUUUCCCUAUCUUUUACUUUUUUUAGUUUGAUUGAUUGUUGUUGGAUAUUAUUCUUUGGAUGACAGAUAUGCGACAUGGUAGCAGUUGCGCAUCUAAUAAAUGCAACACUUGUUAUUCCAAAACUUGAUAGGAAAUCAUUUUGGCAGGAUUCUAGGUACAGUUUCCUUCAUACUUUUAAUUCUUGAGUAUAUCUCCCAAAUUUAACCUGAAUUAAUGGAAUAAAUCUGGAAUGCAGCAAUUUCUCAGAUGUUUUUGAUGAAGAAUAUUUUAUACAAUCUUUGGCAAAUGAUGUUAAAAUUGUGAAGAAAUUACCAAAGGAAUUGGCAAUGGCUACCAAAGCAGUAAAAUACUUUACAAGCUGGUCUGGAGUAGAAUACUACCAUGAUGUGAUAUCUCGAUUGUGGGAUGAUUAUCAGGUGUAGUGUCUAUCUUAUUUGAAUUUUGGAUGUCCUCCACUUCAUGCACAGACACAGGCAACAUGCACAUACAUUUGCAUACACAUCCGUGUAUACAUGCAUUACCAAGUCCAUUACCUUGCCAUGUUUGUUAGUAGUCUUGUUGAGCUGGCUUGUUGGAAACAUUGUUUUGUAAUAGGUUAUACGAGCAGCUAAAUCAGAUUCUCGUCUUGCCAACAACAACCUGCCUCCUGACAUUCAAAAGCUCCGUUGUCGUGCUUUCUAUGAGGCUCUUCGAUUUGCUCCCCGAAUCGAGGCACUAGGAAAAGUAACAGCUCAUCUAUUAUUUUUCUUAGAUUUAAUUUGUAUUAGUUUUUAUUGCAUUGUCUUGUACUGCAAAAAGCAGCAUUUGAGUUUUUAUGGUUGUUAAUUCUGCAGUUAUUGGUGGAGCGAAUGAGAUCAUAUGGUCCAUAUAUUGCUUUACACUUACGUUAUGAGAAGGACAUGCUUGCUUUUAGUGGGUGCACAUAUGGUUUGUCUCCUGGUGAAGCUAAUGAGCUGACAAGAAUCAGGUAAGAGACUUUUCUAGCAGGCUUUAUAAAACACUAGUUCUGUUCUUUGUAGUUGAAAGAUAACCUCUCCAAUCAUUUUAAUCUUGAACCAGCUUCCUCCCUCAUUUGCAGAGAGAACACAACAUAUUGGAAAGUCAAGGAUAUUGAUCCCCAAGAACAGAGGGCCAGGGGGUAUUGUCCCCUGACUCCAAAGGAAGUUGGGAUUUUCCUUUCUGCCUUAGGAUACCCAUCAAAUACUCCAAUAUAUAUUGCAUCAGGGGAAAUAUAUGGAGGUGAUUCUCAUAUGGCUGAUCUUGAGUCCCACUUUCCCAUGUUAAUGAGCAAGGUAUCACAUAGAUAUUUUUCAUCUAUGGUGUAGCUUGAGUUGGUCUCAUAUCAUCAAAAUGAAGCAAUUUAGUCUGUUUGUUUUGCAUUCAUGCUAAAAAUAGUAGAAAUGAUUAAAAAGCCUCUUUUUUUUAUUGGAUACCAACUUUCUUUAACAUAUCAAGUGUGUUGCAUUUGUUUAUGAGUCUGAUUAAGUGCAUAUAUUUCAUGGAAAUGACUUGGACAAAAAGAUGACAUAAGUCACGUAAAAUAUUUCCUGACUAUGAAGCCCAGACAUGGUAUUUUACUACCAAUGAUAGGACCGUAGUUGUUUUAACAUAUUACUGUAGAAAUUAUUUGAUUCUCAUAAGCACUAUGUUCAUUAGGUUAUGCAAAAGCAUUAAUCAUGUCUAUAUGCUGUACGUAUAGCUAAUCAAUCAUUAUGUUUUGCCUCAAUUUGCUGUUACCUCAUCCAUAUGGCUUGAUCGUACUUGAAAGCAUCUUUGUUCACAAUUUUAUGUGUGUUAUCAAAUCUUGUUCUCUCUUUUAAUUCUCUGUAAUGAUAAACUAAUGUGUACUUAGCACAUUCGAGUAUUCAUUUAGGUCAAUCCAUGAUUUGUUCACUUGUAGUGUAAUGCAUUUUAAUCCAUACCAAAGGGCUCAUCUGUCAAGUCUUGCACUUUCUCUGGCAUAACACCCUGUAUUUUGUUGGCUUCCCUGAAGUAAUUUUGGCUUGCUGCCCCAAUGAUCUAUGUUCUUUUGAUCACCACCUGUUCCUAAAUCCUCAUUUAUGUUGUUUCAUGAAACAAUUCAACAUACUUUUUUCAGCAUUCAAAAUCCUUGCUUUCAAUAACAAAACUAGUUUGGAGUUGCUACUUUAUGAUAUUGGCAUCUUUCUUCAACAAUUACCCGUAUUACAUUGUGGCAAUGUUUGUUUUCAAUACAUGUUUAGAGAACCUCCUUUUUCAUUUCCUAUUAGUAAACAUGGAAAUUGGUUAUCAUAUUUCUUUGAGAAUGAGCAGUUCAAGGUGAACCGCGAUAUUUGUGCUUUGAUUUCAUUUUCCAGGUUAUAAAUGCUGCUCCACCAUGACAUCAAUAUACAGAAGAGUGAUGAUAGAAGUCGAACUAUAUGGAUUUACAAAAAAUAUUGUUCAUGUUAUGGUGGACAUAUGGACAAAUAUUAUUCAACAAACAAAUACAUUACCAGAUUUUAUGCAGAAAAUACCAUUGAAUUUUCUUGCGAUUUCUAGAUUUUGACAACUACAUUUACAUGUCUAUAAUUAGUGUAGGGAGAAACCAACAAGAACCAAGCUCAUUUAAGAACACCUAUCACCCUUCACAAGAAGUUUUUAUGCUAAUACAGUUUAUGACUUAAACUUGUAAGCCACCGUCGAACUCGAGAUCAUUAUGGAUAUGGACACUGAACCAGCAAAAAUAUUCUUAACUACCUAUGUUGUUCCCAAAGGUAGAUGAUCGCUACAGGAAGUAAAUUUCCAAUUUAUGGGAUGUGGUAGCUGAGGAAACUCUCUUUGUCCGAGGGCUUUCAAUUGAUUAUUCCCAAAGAGAUAUAAGAAAGGAAGAUGAUUAUGUUUUUUAAUGAAUUCAGUGAUUUUUGAAUUGUAUUUACAUCCUUGCAGUAAGUAGCAAUGGCCAGGCUUGACUUAUUAAAUUGUGAUUGCCCUCUUCUAUCUCGCUAUUCUAGCUUCAAGAAGAAUACAAUGUGGUUUCUGUGGGUUCCCCACCAAUAUAAAUGUCUGUCGAUUGACAAGUUCACUGUCAUGUUGUCUUUAGGCUCUUUUCUCCUACAUAAAAUCUCCCAAGUGUCAAUAACUCUAUGCAGUAUCCUUGGGGAUUUGUCAAUUCAUGUUUUCAUCUUAAUGUACCUUUUAGCUCUGGGGAGGAAGUUAUGUUUCACAAGCAAGUGUUUGUGUGAUUAUAAUUUGAUAGAAACAUGCAUUAAUUGAGGGUUUUUUUCUGGCCAGUUUAUCUCAUUUCAUCACAUUUAUUUAUAAUUUUGGUACUAGAUGCUUUGAAAUAAUUUAUACAUAGUGCUUUAAAAUAAUCACUUUGUUGACCAUUAGAAAGAUUUUAAAGUAUCUAUUUAUGUUGAAAAAUUUCACGACCUCCCAACUUAUCAUAUAGUUUGGAAUGGAACUAAUAGAUGUUUUAAACCUAGAAAAAUGUACAGAGUGGAGCUUGGAUAAAAUAUAGCGGUCUAUUGAAUUAUAUAUGUGGAAAUAUAAAGUUUCUAAAACUCUCAUUGUGUUGGCCAAGUCUGAGAAUUUGAUAAAAAGAUAGUUAUGCUGAAAAAAUUUAGUCCACAACCUUCCAAUCUGCCUUGUAGUCCAGUUGCUACAUGAGACGUUCUUACCCUCUUAGCUUCCACCAUGAAUCAUUCCUUUUCUUGCAACUGGCAUAGAUAUACAAGUGGUUUUUAAAUAGAAAAAUAUGGAUGGUGGAACUUGGGGUAGUAGCCUAUUGUAUUGCAUAUGUGUUACCCCACAUAUAUGUUUAGUCAUGGUCUGUUAUAUAUAUUUGAUGCCGUAUAUCUGAACUUGGUCAUUGCACAUAUUCCUUUGUUUUUUGUGUUAUGAGGAUGCGAGCCCUUUGUUAGUUGUAUGAGGUUAAGAAUCUGCUUUUGCUCAUAAUCUACAGGUUUCACAGUUACAAAUGCAAUGAUUACUACACUUGGAUCUUUAUCAAAACUUUGAUUGCAUGCCAUGUGAGAUUUGUCCACCAGAUUUUUUCCAUUCUCUAUUUGAUAGUCUUGCCAUAUUGAUUACUACACGUCAUCAUACAUUUUUUGGUAGGGUUCCUUGAGUACACUUGGAAGUUGUGAUCCUUGGUUACAGUUUAAGUAGAGUGGAUGUGAACAUAGGACUUGCAUUCCUUUCUCUUUGGUGAAACUGUUCGUAUUGUUGCGUUAUUCAACCAAUCAUUAAUCUUUCCAUAUUUCUCUCUCAAUCUCUCGAUCUAUAACUAGGGGCCAGAAUCAACUUUUCUUUAAACUGUCUGCUGAGUUCAUAUUCCUACCUGUUAUUUCUACCAGGGCAGGUCAUGGUCAAAUUUGGGAAUGUGAGGAGAGGUGUAGCAGGAGUAAAGAUAGUGUGCUUCAAACACCCUGCUGCUAUACAACUUUUGAUUCCUGCUCACCUCAUCUCCUAUCCAAGUAUCAACCUUCUUCCACUUGGUUAGGAGUAGCCAUUUUUUCUCUUUAAUUAUCAUCCUUCUUCAUUGUUUUCUUGAAUAAAAUACAGGAAAGAAAUCUUGGGGCAUGGGAUGUUUAUUGAAGAUAACCUAAACACAUAUGGUUUCAUUUUUCUGAAAAAUGAGCCUCAGCUUGUAGCUUUUGUAUGAUACUAGCACAAGUGCAGUUUGAGCCCAAAACUCAGGAUCAAGUUUUCCUCUUGUCUAAUAAGUCUCGUACACAAUGUUGGUGUUUUCCAUAACAGUAUUUUUUAAGCUCUUUCCCCCAUAUAUGGCACAAAUGUGGAUAACUGAUGUAAAAAGGUAUAAGGUGUUCGAGAAAGAUAAAUAUAACUUGAUAUAUUCAUAUGUGAUCCAUGUCCAUAGUUCAUUAUGCUUCUUUGACCUUUUAAAAUGUGGGGAACGGCCACUGCACUGUAACAUGAAGGCCAGUGGACAAUCUUAUCGAUGACAGUUUUGCUCAAUAAGGAUGAUUGCUAUCUCAAAAAUAAAACAGUUGACUAAUCUCAAAGGAGAAACAUAAAGAUAGGCGCAUCCUAGGGCCAUGAAUUGUUUGUUGUGCUGGGUUGGGUCCCACGGAAGUUGUUAGCAAUUACCUGUGAGUAAAGACAUCGGCGGUGGUCUUUAUCACCUCUUUUCUUUUAUUGUUUAAGAAAUUGUUAGUGAUGGAAAUCCAUUUUGUUCACUUGCAUAAAUCCUGAAAGAGCAUAAGUAGGCAUCUGUAGUUUCCUAGUAGAAAAUAGUAAAAAUCAAAAGACAACAGACUUCUUUCAACAAUAACAACUUCAAUCUUUAUACUGGUUCAAUGAAUGUAGUAGUCCAAGAGCAUAUAUUGAUAGUUGAUCACUAUUGCAGUGCUUUGAAGUCAGGUGCCCAUCCUUAUUUUGACUGCCGAGCAAUGCAUUGGGGACAGGGGCACCCCUUAUGGCCAAACUUGUCCCUCUGUAUUAAGGGCCUACUAAGUAUAACUAUCAUGUAAUGUGUUAUGAUAAAUGCAGCAUAUAUAUAAACCCAUUUGCAAAUUAUGAUGCCUAUGAUUAGGCCUUUCUUUGUCAUUAUUAUUAUGUAACUAUGAGAUGAAACUGAUUUCACUUACACUUCUGCUAAAGGCUCUUUAUUUUCCCCUUCUGAUUUUUUUUUCUCCAGUAAACUCUGUUUUGGCUAGAAGCUAGCUCAAUCAGUAUAUCGAUUUUUUUUUGGCUUUUUUGCCUUGCAGGAAAAGUUAGUGUCAGUGAAUGAGCUUGAACCAUUCAGUCAUCAUGCAUCGCAGAUGGCAGCUUUAGACUAUAUUGUAUCCGUGGAAAGUGAUGUUUUCAUUCCAUCCUAUUCGGGAAACAUGGCAAGGGCAGUUGAGGGACACCGGCGUUAUUUGGGUCACAGAAAAACCAUCAUUCCUGAUAGGUAAAGUGUCUUUUUGUAUCUGAACAUUAUAAAUUCUGUUUGAUAUCCAUCUCUUGAAGAUUCUAUUUUGGUGUAAAACCACUCUGAUUCCUUCGUUUGUUUCUUUCUUUUAUUGAUCGCCUACUGCAAUGCAGAAAAGCACUUGUUCGUUUGUUUGAUAAAUUUGAUCAGGGUUCUCUUAAAGAAGGGAAGAGGCUGUCAGACAUGAUUGUACAACUCCAUAAAAAACGGUAUGUCAAACAGGAGUUAAAUUUGUGCUUGUUUAGUUUCUGAACUGACUUUAUAUGUAUUUGUUUGUCAGGCAAGGUUCCCCUCGUAAACGAAAAGGUCCCAUCUCUGGAACAAGAGGCAAAGAGAGGUUCCGAUCAGAAGAAGCCUUCUAUGAGAACCCGCUGCCUGAUUGUCUGUGCCAGUGGGAAUCUCAUAAUAGCAACAGUUCUCUUGCUAACAUGUAGAUGUCGCAUGAACAAUGCUCUUAUUUGGAGAAGAGAUUCAGAUCCUAUCCUGCUGCUUGAUUUAGCCUAACCAAACACAUUUCGAGUUGGUCGUGAAAGUACAGACUAGAGCCUCAUAAGUAUAUUUUAUGUUCUGGGCUGCCAAGCUGACAUCGAGGCAUAGAUGAUGCUGGUUGAGUUUGUGGAGGCAGAGAGCAGUGUAGCAAAAGCUUUCGAUGAUGUUAUAUCUGUAUUCCAUGUUGGAAUUGAGUGGCAUAUGGCCAACUUAGGCUAGAUUUGGGCUGAGUGUAGGGAAGUGCUAAUUAUAUCUGGUUGUAGAGUAUCAUCCUUAUAGUAAAUAUCAAGAAAGAAAGGUGGGAUCACUGAGAGGUUUAGUGGGGCAAUAAUUCAGACCAGCACAGACUGGAAAGUUAUCAGCAACAUCACAUUGCAUGUAUUAAUUUCUUGACAUUGCAAUAUAAUUGAAUAAAAUAAGAAAUAUAUGUUGCACAGAGUCAAUCUCAUCUGUUUUUUUUUAGUGUAAUCAUGUAUCCUUGUGUUUGAACGCAUGCCUGAAGGCUACAGAGUAAAUUGUGCUAAUUUGCAGACUAGUUGGCUGUUGAUUGCUUAUCUGUGGAAUACCGCGGCAUUAUGUAAUGAAAGAUAUCUUAUUUGCCAUCUUAUUUUUGGGGUUUCUGCAUGAUCAUCCCCCCACAUUUGUCUGAGAUUGCGGGGUAAUUUUAGUGUUUCAUGUAAUUGCAACAUCAUCCUUGUACUUUUGAGGAAGCACAGAGAAGUCUCCACGGUUCCCUCCAUCUCCUCUUAUAUGCCUCAAGACCCCUGAUUGUCUUGAAUUCAGCCUCUUCUUCUCUACUGCCUGCAAGCUGGUAGCAUCGCCAUCUCCUCCGUUCAUGCCGCUGGCCUCAUUCUCUUCUCCACCUUGCAGUCCUGAAGUCACUUCAUUCCAACUGCUCCAAUUACUCUCCUUCGUUUGCUUCAAUCAGUCAUCCCGUCAAUCCCCUUCUUCCCCACCCUACUUGGUUUGUUGUUUUCUCUACUCUCGCUCCCAUCUAUUCUAAGCUAUCAUCCUUAAUUUUUGAACACAACCAAGCAUUCCUCAUGCUCACCCUUACCUUCGGUGCCAUCCUAAUCCCCACACUCCAUCAUUUACCAAAAAGACAUUAAUCUAUGAAAUUUGAAGGACAUCAAACAUAACGUAUGCAUCUAUAUUGUAUGGUAAAUGUCAAUGUAGUUUGCUUGAAAAGAAAUGACAAAAGGAUGGCUACUUGGAAUGGCAGUUGCUUCUCCAUUGGAGGCAGGCCAUAUUCAAGUGGGUCCUACGCAAUCCACUUAUUGACUGCAUGCCAGUUUUUAUAAAGUAAACCAAGAAAAAGCUCCACUCUUGGAUAUUAUUUUUUUUCAUGUGAACAUUUAAUAUGAUGCUAGAAAAAGAUUUGAUUUUUAUCUUUAGAGACCUCAUGUAAUCUGAUAGCAAACUCGCUUGAACAAGGAAGAGCUUCAGCACUGCUCUCUGCCCAUCUGAUAGCAAAGAUUAUCUGAGAUAACUUUGGUUUAUUUAUGUUUUUUGGUUGGUCAGGUAUUGCAUCUUCAAUUCAAAAGCAUUAGAAUAUACUAAAAUUUGUUGGUUCAUAUUAUAGUUAAUUUCUUUAAAGGAAUUAGAUCUUAGAACUUGCAAAGCACGUGUUUAGUGGAGCAGGGGCGUUUGUUGAAUGACAAUCAGUUUGUUGAGCAAGGCCAACCACAUGAAGAUUUUCUUCUUCUCAUUUGCCUCUUCUUUCCAUGGAGCAAAUGAUAACAAGAGUUCAUUGUUAAGUCUCCACUAGAAUUGAGCAGUCACCUUUUCAGCCACCGGUUCUACGAGAAUUCAUGUGGGCGUGUGUUUAGUCCUACAUCGGCUAUCCACCGGAUAAAUCUUGGAUACUCAUAUUGGACAAGAAACCUAAAUAACAACUUCCGGCUAGCCCAAUUUUAGGUGACAUCCUGGGUUAUAACAAGUUAGUCCUGAACUUGAGUUUUGGUCAGACUGUUGAGCGGCAUCAUCGGUGGAGGCCAGCAGCAACAUGCACACAGCUGACAUUGUUGCCAGCAACAGGACCUUCAGGUUGCUCUAGUUGAGCAGUUUUCCAAAGCUAGAGCAGCUUCCAUCGCAGGAUCCUUCCCUGCUUUAAGCAUUGGCUUCUUUCUCUGCUCCUUCAUGGGAUCUAUUCUUGAUUUGUAAGGUAUUUGGAAGUAAGAUGGAAUUGAUUUAUGGGCACUCAAGGGAGCUAAUGCUUGUUAAAAAUAACUUAAAAAGUGAUCAAGUUUGCUGCUGAACCGAAACAAAAUUGUUUCCACUGCACCCUCGUAGCUUUUGCCAGACACCCUUGGAUUUGUUUCAGAAUGUUGUGGUAGCGGAUGAACCCCAAGGAAGUAACAAAGUACCAUUAAAAAAUUUUAGGCCUAUGAGUUUGCUGAAAAGUCUUCCAAAAUCACCAAUACUCUUGGAAAGAGCCUACAGCCUUAACUAAAUUCUUUGGUAAAGAAAGUGCGGUAUACUUUCAUUGAGGUUUGGUGUGUAUCAGAUUGCUAUCUUUCUGCAUAUGAGACUCUUAUCUUAUUGCUAUAAAAGGAAGGAGGAAGGUGCGCCAUGCAGCAUCCAUUUUGAAAAAGUCUUUGUCCAAAUCGAGUGGGAUUUCUGAAUUCUAUCACUUUGGAUAGACCACAAAAAUCCUUAAAGUCAGGCAACAGCAUAAUCCUCAAGAAUGGACUUCGGCAUGGAUAUCCAAUUUCUCCUUUUCUGUUCAUUCUAGUCACAGAUACCAUCACUAGAAUAAUUCACCUUGCCAACUCCAAGGGUUUAAUCUAUGGCUUUAGGCCAGACAGGAGAAUUGGUGCUAUCUAAAUCUAGUACUUCAGAUUAAAAGAAUCUUAAAUUGGAAGGAAAUUUUUGAGGGUGCUCUCAUCUACAUUUGGAUCAGGACACAACAAAGGGAUCAUUGCCUGCUAGCAUUAUGAGUUGUUCGGUCAGAGCGACUUCCUAGUCUCAUACAUUGGACUCCCCCUCUCUCCAAAAGCCUUCACCAGAUCCAAUUGGAAACCUCUCCUGGAUAAAUUUCAUUUUAGAUUUACAAGUUGGAAACUAGUCCUGCUGCUUCAUACUCUCAGCCCUCCCUUUAUAGUAGAGAUCAUUAUUUCUUCUUGCUUGGCUGGUGUCAAAAUUUGACAAAAUUAGGAGGGGAUUUCUAUGGAAAUGCCAAAAGGACCCUUUCUGGAUGAGCGUAACCUUCUCUUCAGGGAAUGUUUCAGACCUUGUUCUGCAAGGACACUUUGUCUAGGAGACCACUCUUAAAAUAAGUUCACUUUCUGCAUGGAUCGAAAUUGGGAUCCACCCAAAAAACGAAAGCAAGCUAAGCUUUAUCUCGAUUUGGGCCAACUAUUUUUUCACCUGGUUGGCCAAUCUAAUGUAUGUGUUAUGAAGAAGCUAAUGCAACGAGGUCUGUUUGAAGCAAAUAUCCAGUAAGGCAUUAGCUAUCACAACUACCUCCAACUUUUAGAUAACCAACAACAAUCAUUGAAUUCUCUUCUAUCCAAACCUUUGUACCUUUUAAUCUAGCUAUCAUAAAAUUCUCAAGCACUGUAAUAGAAACUAAAGCGGUGUUAGUGGGAAAGCUUCCACGGUGAUUUGAUCUCAUUAUUCAAGUUUGCAAUUAAUUUCAAACCAAGCUCGACCAAAUCCAAACUUAUGUUUUUGGUCUCCAUUGCACCUUUAGUUUCAAUACGAGUUUUGAAGAUUUCCUAGACCCGAUCGACAAAGAGUGAUUGGUCAAGGGUUGAAUGGGUUGCAUUGGGCACAUUGACUGGAACUUAAAAUAUGAAUUAUAUCUCUACUUUUCCUUAGAAAAUAUUGAAUUUAUUCAAAAUAAAGGAAAAUAUGGCAAGCAUAAGCCCUCGAGAUUUCCAUUCUAACUUUGAUGAAUCUUCUGCUAGACAAUAGAUUAAAAAAAUUGAUUAAGGUUCCCAUAUAUUAUAACUGCAAUGAAAAAAAAAGCGAAUGAAAGGGAUGCAAAUAAGAUUAAUACACCAAAUUCAUCUGCCUAUGUCUAAAUUGCAGUCGAAUCAUAUUGCAAUCUAAUUCUUAUUGCAAUCUAAUUCUUUUCAGAAAAUAUAGUAUGUUAAUGGAAUCUAUUAGAUACACAUUAAAACUGUCGUGCCAGCCAUACAGCGAUUCACCUACCGGAUUGCGCAUUAUUCGUUCUCACUGGCUGUUUCCCAAUCUCAUCUCACCCAUACAACACCAACAAAAAAAAAUCCAUCACCAAAACCUUCACGACCGUUUCAAUCUCUCUCUCCCUUCACCCAUGAUGGCUAGAACAAAACAACCCACCCGCUUUCAACUCCCAUCCAUUCGCUCACCGGACAACACCAUCCCUCACAAACACCAUUAAAUCCUGCCUUCUCCACUCCCCUCCUCACCCCGCUCGAUCGCUUCAUUAACUUCCCAAAAACCAGUGCAAACAUCAAAGGAAGACACAAAGCCAUGGCUCUCAACAAGGUUGUCCUGGCUCUCGCGAUCGCCGCGAUGGUGCUCAUGGCCUCGACGGUCCCCGCAGCGAUGGCCGAUGACGGCGAUUUCGACUGCUACUGCGAUUGCAUGAAGAAUAAGUGCAUGAAGGUCCCAAAAACGACCAAGGAGGAAUGCGCUCCCGCCUGCUCCGACGGCUGCGUGGAGGCUGGUUACAGGGGCCAGCCCAAUCCCGACGACUUUUGUGGGCUUUAAAUGGCAUCGAGCGAAGUCCUCCAUGCACGUGCCCUCGCGCUAGGGUACCAAGCAUCACCUCCUCCUUGUUUCUUUUGUCUUUUUCUCUUCUUCUUCUUCUUCUUCUUCUUCUUCUUCUUCUUCUUCUUCUUCACAAAGUGUACAUUUGUUAUGAACUCCUUGCUUCUCUGUAUUUGUUCUAUGUCUUUAUCAUGUAUACAUUUGUUAUGAGCUUCUUGUUUCUCUGUUAUCAUGUAUUCAUUUGUUGCGCAGUGGAUCCUUUAUUGUGUAAACUUGCAACUCAUAGUUUUGUGAUGUGGAACUCUUGAACAAUAAUUCUUCUUCUUUUCUUUACAAUGAAAUGAAUUGGGCAAAAUCCCAAUCCAAAUUUAUUAAGAAGAAUCGAUAUAGCAAGAACUGUUAGUCUGGGCUAUCCGAAGAUGAAGAGUUGGAUAUCGAAGAUCUAAAAAGAUUCGAGGCAGGUUUUGGAAGAGAGGUUUUUUUCACUAUGGUCCAGUUAAAAACAAAGAACAAAACACUCCUCUUGACAUCCCCAGCUGCUCUGACUUGCUUUUUUGAAAAGUUCUUCCAUUUCUCUCUAGCCAAAUACAUCAACAGAGGCUGUCCGAAAAACGAGUUACAUAUCGGUUUUAGAAAGAUUCAUGACAAUACACUCAAUAAAAUCAAAAUACACUAGCUCGCGGAGUGCUAGUGGCAGCUCCCCCUUCCCUGACCAAAGGGUGUACCCUGAGUGGUGGGCCGCAUAGGCAGCCACCCAAUCGGCCGUCCUAUUGGCUUCUAUGUAUACUUCAAGAUAGGUUUUAGAAGAGAGGUUUUUCUACUAUUGUCGAGGUAAAAACUAAGAACAAAACACUCCUUUGACAUCCGCAGCUGCCCUUACUUUGUGAGGGCAUGGUCCACUGACCGGCCCACAUAUGAAUUAGGCCAAAAACCCAUUGAGCAAAGGCCCAUAUGGCCUGUGUGCGUGGAGAGGAAGAAUCGGACUCCGACCAGGAGUCCUCUUCUUUCUUUCUCUCCUUUGGGUUUAGAUCUCUUGUUGCUCCGCAGCGGAUCUAGGGGGCUUCACUAUUGAUCCAACCGGGGAAACUCGCCAGAGACUAGGUAAGCUUCAUUUCUCCCUUUUUCCGGCCUUUGGGCCACUGUCUCCAUCUCAAAUCCGGUUAGCAAAUUACCGGAUUGGUCUCAGACGAUUUCCCUUGCUUUUCCUCUAUUUCGUCUUCUUUUUUCUCAUUCCAGCCGACCAUCGCUGGGUGUGGCAUGCCGCCAGCACCGUCGACUGCCGAGGGUCGCCGGCCACAAGCGGCUCAGCCGCCGAGCACCUUCCACUUCAUGGAAAGAAGAAGAAGAGAGAGAGGAAGCCUCACAGUUCUCCUUUCCUUAUUCUCUCCAUUUCUCUCCGCUCUCUACACUUUCUCUCUCUAGAAUGUCCAAGAAAUUCGAAGUCGGGUCAUGUCGACUUAAUUUGCAAACUCGAGUUGACCCCUAAAAAGAGAUCUUGAAUUGCUUGGGUGCCCAGCGUCGCCUGUUGGACCAAUCACCCCGCCUUGUCAAGGUCCAUGGAACCCACUGAUGAUGAAGUAUGUUAAACGACUCUGGCUCUAAUCGAGUUCAUGCCCUAUAAUAUGUUGAUCAAAAUGCUCAAGCUUGACCUAUCCGGAAUCGUCAAAUGCUCGUCUCCAUUCCUUAUUAUUUUAAUUCGAUUAAAAUUGUCAAACAGAAAGUAAUUAUGCUUUUAAUAUUUUUAUAAGGUUAACUGAACGUUGAUGGUUUAAGAUGGAAGAAGCAUGUAGAUAUUGCACUCAUUACUUUUCAAAUUAUCAUGUAUUUCAUGAUAUAAAAUUUUCUUAUGGAAAUAUUAGCUUUUUUAAAAUUAUGGAUCAGCAUAUAUGUUAUGAAAAUCAUGAUUUAUUAUGAAAAAUAGUUUCAUGAAUGUUUUAAUGAAAAUAACUUUGUUAUGAAAUAUAAAUUUGAUCAUGCUAUUUAGUAUUUUUCAUCUAUUUGUAUAUAUAUAUAUAUUAAGAAAAGAUAUCAGUUUUCAAAGGCUCUCAGAUUGCUAUGACCGUCUCUAGAAAUAGGGGUCAAUCAACAACCUAGAGCUAGCAUCUAACGAAAACGGUUCUCUACCAAUGGGUUAAAGUUAGUAACGAAUAUAAACUAUGACAUCUUAUCGAUUACGAAAAUGGUCAUGUCACGAGUUAUAGUGACCAUAGCACGAAUAUCUAUGAGCAAUAUUUUGAUCCAUCAUAGGAUUAUAUGAUAUGAAGAAUAAUUUAUGAAUUUAUUUGCAAUAUGAACUUGGUACUAUGUUGAUGAAAGAUUAUUGAUUUGUUCGUGCAUGAUUUAUUUUAUGAUCUAUUUUUAAUAUACUGUAUUAUAAAAUGCUUAUUUUAGAAUAUCUCUUAUUUUUUUUAAAAUGAUGUAUUGACAUAAAGAGCUUAUGCUUGAUCCAGUAAUAUAGUGAAAGGUUUACUUACUGAGUUGUGUCGCUCAUAUACCUUAUUUUUAUUUUUUUCUCUUCAAAUAAAUAGGAUCAGUAGGGACGAAGGUUGGUCCGGACUUAGAGUUCAUGCUAGCGAGGUUGGCGAUUUUGUAAAAAAAUUUUAGUAUUGACCAUAAAUUUGUAGCUAAUGAUUUUCUGAAUGAUGAGGGUGAUGGGUUUAGUAUUGAUUUGGAUUUAGAUGCUUUGAACCAAAAUUGGUUUUAUUUAAUGGAUAAAAAAAUUAGAUAUUUAAUUGUUAUAUUUUGUUGUGAUGGAUUUAAAAUCAAAAAGCAAUGUCGGCUUUGUGUUCUCGUGGGUUGUACCCCUCGGUAGUAUGGUUAUGUCAUGUUCCAAAUUUGUGGCGCAACAUACUUGAUGUUUGAAAAAGUUCCUAUAUUGCUCUCAUCCAAAAAAUCAACAAUUAAAGCACCGCGACAUUUAGGUCUAACGUUUCAUAACCUGCAAAAACUCUACAUUUCCAACUGACCACGGUUGGACUACGAUAUUGACUCUAUCAGAAAAAGCCUUCCAUAAACUAUGGGUGAAAGCACGCUUGAGGUGUUAGCAUAAUUUUAGGGAUCACUUAACAACCUCCAUCGCCUAUAAUAUUUUUCUUUAUUAGCUUAAUCCUUUUUCAACCUUUAUUAUUUUUUUAUUUAGCAUGAUCUUAUUAGAGUAAUUUUAGGGUCACAAAACAACUUGUAUUGGGCAGUAAUAUUUUCCAUUGUUAGUGUGAUUGUAUAUCGGGCUAUAUUAUUUAUCUUGUAUGAAAUCUAUAUAAAAGUACAUAUAACCCCUGAGAUGUAUCAAAUACGAUAAAAUAGAGAAAUAAAAUUAUUGUUCUCUUUUUUUUUGUUUUUCACUUCUUCAACAAAUAUUUUAACAUGGUAUCAGAACCACUGAUCACAUAACCUGUCAUCAUCUAUUCCGCCUUUGUUGUGAUCAUCAUUGCCAUGUCAAGAAGCUUUGAAGACUCCAAUUGUCGAUUUAUCGAUCUCUAUUUUCGAAUGAAUAAAUAGCCAAAAAUUCUCUAUUUUUGGUAGAUCUUAGAUCCUCUAUUUCUCCGUAGAUCUCUAUUUUCUAAUGAAUCAAUAUUGAUCUCAUUAGUAGAUCUGCAUAUUCUCUAUUUCUGAUAGAUUACUACCCGAAGAUUCUUUGUUUUCUAUGAAUUCUCAACUCCUUUUCAUCGCAUUUUUUCUCAACUUCAGAUCUUCAGUUGUUUCUCCUCACCGUCACUCGGCCACAUUCUCUCCAUUUCUGAUUUUAUUUGCUGCUUUCGGCUCUUUUGCACCCCAGUUCGAAGCCAAUUGCUCCUCUUCAAUGGUGCCUCCGUCUAUGAGGAUUGUCGACUUUCGAUUGCCUUCUCUCCAAGCUUGUCGUCACUACAACUGUCAUCUUCUAUGCGUCUUCUUGCUGCCACAUCAUAAGACAAGUCAAUCAACCACCUUAACAAACAUGUUAGUCUGAUAUCGGCUUCUGAGUUGUUAUGUUAACUCUUAAUCUGCUACAUCAGUCAGACACAUCAGAUAUCGGCUUCUGAGUUGUUAUGUUAACUCUUAAUCUGCUACAUCAACUUCUGAGUUGCUAUAAUAACUCGUAUUCUGCCACAUCAAGCUCUAUACUGCCACAUCAGCUUUUAAUGCUAUCUAUAUUAUCAAGAACACCAAAGUAAAGUGUCUCAUCCGUGACAGCUGAGGAAACAGCUCUCACGUCAGAGACAUUGCUAAGUGAUGCAAACAUCGAAUCCUUCUGCUCUGGCGACACUAUCAUAUGGACCCUUGAACUUUGCUGGCUCUCCAAUUGAAUGCCUAUGCCCAUUUUGAAGUCGUGGACUCCACCCUUUCAUCUACCAGAUGGAAAUCUGAAAAUUCUUUUAGUGCCUUCUACUAUUUAGUAGUUAAUUCCUUCGGCUGCGAGACUGAUCUAGUCUCAAACCAAAUGAGGGUUUUUCUCGAGUCCACAGUUGACGUUGCAGCAAGCAAGCUCUUCAGCUCCUCGACACUAUCUAGGGUUGCAGCUUUGCUAGCAUCGAGGCAUUUGUAUUCUUGCCUUAUGCUCUUCAAGGCAUUGCCCUUCUCCAACAAGAUGUCCUUAAGCUGAGAAUUCUCAUUCCUAGCAACCUGUAGUGCUUCUUCAACAACAGUAGCUUCAUUCACCGCUUGUUUCAGUAUAUCCCUCGACUUAGAAUUUUUUAUGCUUGGCCGCGCGAAUUACUUAAUUUACUGUUUUCCUGAUGCAAUUUAUGGAUCAUCUCUUCAGACAUCUUCAUACAAUUUAUAAACCAGUUCUGUUUCGCAUUCGAAGCAGCAAUUGAUUCCUCCAAUUCCGACUUCAACCUUUUGGAUCCAUCCAAUGCCAGUCGUCGAAACUUCUCUUCCAAUAGUUAUAACAACUCAGGACCUCGUCCAAAAUGGCGAUAUCCAACAUUUAAGCCUGACAUCCAAGUCAGGCUAAGAGUUUAAAUUUAUAUAAAUCUAAUCACAACCACCAUGAUCGACCUAUGGUCAUUUCCAAUAAAUCUAUACUGCAGUGUCCUCUAGUCCACAUAAGUUAUGGCUCAGAUCUGCUCUGAUACCAUUUAUAACAAUUCAUGACCUCAUUCAAAAUGGCUAGUCGGAAGAUAUUGAGUUUUUUGAUUUUGUGUAAAUACAUAAGAUCUACCCAGUGAAUAAACAAUGUGGAACUAAAUGCACGCUUGCAUGAGUCCUCGCAAUAGUGAUGAGUCAUCCGCACAAAUAAAGUUUGGUUCUAUUGAAACCCACAACAUUCCUAAGAUAAGGGAACUUCCUAAAAUUUGAGUGUCCAGGAUCAGCCACCUCAUGUAAGCAGUAGAGAUCUUCAUUUAUUAGAGUUUAUCAAAUUACAUAAGUAAUUUAUUUAAAAUUAGAAGAUCACCUUCAUUCAUAGUACUUCUCACAUGUAUCACAUAUGUCGCAUUCUAAUAAAAAUCUAACCAAAACAUGGACAUCUUGGAUGAGGGAAAUGGCAUUCAACAAUCGCAUCAAAAACCGGUCAAGAAGUUCUUUUCGCUCACUGCGAGGAUUGGGAGGAAGUAACCUUGGUGGGACUGCACAUAUUCCACCGCCACCAAUCAGAAUUCAAGAAAGACGUAAGCUAUGUCAGAAAAAGAAAAAAUAAAGAGAGAGAACCGGGCUCCUACUUCAGAUUUUUACAUACCCAAACGUUUCUCUACCCCACAUAUGCUUUUCCCGCAUCAGAUCAGACGUGAUCUUCGACUGCCAUUCGAUGGGCCAUAUCUGAAUCGAGAGAAAUUUACUGUUGGUUCUUGUUAUUAUUUUUUCUAAUAAAUAUGGGUGACACGAGUUGCGCCAUGGCACUAUCCUUGAUCUUAUCCUAUUUUCAUUUGUGGAUCAGCUUCAGGGUGGCCCCCCCAACUCCGCAACCCAAUGCACCGCUGCUAUGCUGUCAGAUGCCAUCCAUUGGUCUCGCAAAGUCAUGCAGCUGCAUCACAAGAACUGGAAAGGCAAUUUAUAUACAUUUUCUUUUAAUUUCAAUAGAAAGAUGUAUUAAUUAUGCAACAACCAAUAACCCCUUAAACCUUAAUAAAGAUUUGGGCUUGAACUCAAGUAGCUGAUACAACCAUUAAGAGAAUAAAUCAGCAAAGUAAACUGCCGCAUUCAUGAUCAGAUCAAGAGAAUAUCAGAUUUUUUUUAUACAUAUUUUCUCCAUCACUUUAAUCUUCAAUCUGUGCAACAUGUACAGUUCUCAUAAAUUAUUUCUCAAUCUAUCAUUUUGAAAUUUAGCAUACAUCCCUUUUAGCAUUCAUAAUUUUUGCUAUGCUUAAGUUAUAUACUCUGAGUACACAAUUUCGUAUCUUUUAUUGCUGUUCUAUAAAUUCUCCCUCAAGCUACCUAGAAGACAAAUUAUAAACAGAAGCUUGGGUUGAUAUUUUUUAUCUUACUAAUACAGAUCAUAUCUGAUGUAAAGAUGCAAAAAUGUAUGUUAGAUAUGGUGUUAAGGAAAAAAUAUUACUGGAGUAGUCGGAUAAAAUCCCUAAAUAAGUUUCAUUAUUAUAUAAAUUUCUUUACAUUUUGAAAGUUGGAUAAUUUUUCUAAUAAAAUAAGCUUCAAUUACAUGUUGUUGUCUCUUCAGCAGAUUAAUCACACUCUUCCAAACUAAUCAUAUCAACAUGGUUAUCCAUAUCAUGAAUUCGAAAAUAGUUACAUUUAAUCAAGAUGGAUAACUUGAAUCGUAUAUAAUAAACAUGGAUAAAACUCAAGCUGAUAGGAUAAAAUAAUACAUCUGGUCUUUUGGGCAACUGACAUCCUAAAAGUUGGUAAUUAUCAGGAAAAUGCACCAGAGCAGUAGUAACAAAAACUGUAGGAUAAUUUGCAUGCAUCUGAGAUUAGUCUCCCCAUAUUAUAUAAGCAAUGCAACCAGCAUAUCUCAUAAACGAGGGGAACUUCCAAGGCCAAACAUAAGAUAGCAAUUUUUUUAGCAUUGUCAGAUGCAAACAACACCAGCAGAAGAGACAUGAAACAGGAAGGAUUUUCUAAAACACAAGCCAGGAAAAAAAGAAAAGAAGAAAAAAAAAGACUUGGUAAAGAAGAUGGUGGUCAAUCUGCAAGCUGAAACACCUAAGAAUCACAAAGAGCAGUAGUGGAAGACAUUUUUUUACUAGCUACUGCUCAUCCUCAUGUUUGGUUGUCUCUUUGAUCUCAUCUGCCCCAUCAUCCUGUAGAUAAUAUAUGCAUAUCAUUUAAUUGAAUUGCAGAUAAAGACAGAGCUGAAAUAUGGCAGGUAGAAUAUUGACAAUGUUCAUCAGAGCGUGUGCAAGACCUGCAUAUCUGAAGUCCACAAGGUAAGGUUGUCACGGAGAAGCUGCAUGAUCAGCGUGCUAUCCUUGUAUGAUUCCUCUCCAAGAGUAUCCAGUUCAGCAAUUGCUUCAUCAAAAGCCUAAAAAUAAAAAUGAGAGUGUAAUUUCAGUAAUUUUUAUACAAUAGAAAGCAAUCAGGAUAUACUGUAAUCCCCCUCUAAAAGGUUUAGGUUUAUUUUCGCAAGAAUGAGUCAGACAAAGUACAACAAAUGAUGGAAACCACAUUAUUGGAGAGGUCCUCUCCAUCCGAGCCUUAGAACAGAUAACAGCAAAGAGGAAGACAUUAACUUACAAUUAUCUGGAGAAUUACAAGAUUAAAACGGAUUAAGAACCGAUAGCCUCGCAAGGUCUUUGAAAUCGAAGUAGAAACAUGGGGCAAAAUGAAAGCAGAAACCCUACAUCACACUACGAUCACCCAACAGAAGAUGAUCUGUCAAAUUGUAGGAACAAAUGAAUCUUGUAGAAGAAUAACCAAAGUCAAAGGACCCAAUCAUAGCUAGGAAGAUCGCAUUUGAUUUUUGACUAUCCAAAAUGGAUAUCAAAUUGAAUAAAUUGUAGAGAAUCAAUGACUUUUCUUUUUUAAAAAAAACACACAAACAAUCAUUUAGGAAUUGUUGCACCAGGGACAUCCUUGCAGUUAAGACAUUUAGUGGGUCCAUGACCUAAUUUGAUGGAGGUACAUGCUGUAAUUCAAUGGAAACUGAGACAUAGAUACACCAAACAAGUUGAUAAGCUCUGACAGAAAACAGAGAAAAUGAACGAACGGAACCUUCAUAAUUGUGUAAUAACUGAAACUCAAAAAACAACAAUCCUAUGACAUGGGCAUGGUAUGAAACAAGACUGUAUGUCCACUAUAGGACACCCAGAUAUCUUUAAGUUUUAUCUGGGCAUCCAGGAACUAGACCGAGAGAGCACAAAAGUACUUAGUUCCUGCACUCUUAGUUAUGAUAUUUAAAAAAACAAAAGAAGGAAGAAAUGUGGUAGAUUUUUGGAAAGACUACAAAUUAGCAAUCCACUGCAAUUACGAUAUUAUGAAACAUAUUGGAAAAAUGAUCACAGCAUCCUAAACAACGAGGUUGAAGAUUUGAACCACAAGUAGAAAAAGAUGAUGACUAUCUCCACCAGCUGAUCUUCCAGUAAAAAUCUAGCAGUCAGGUCGUACUAUCUAUGUACCGCAAUGGCCCAGUCAAAUAACCUUCAAUAAUAAAAAUUUCAGAAUGACCUCAUGGCAAAGCAGGUGAACUGAAACAAGCAUAGUGUUUACACAACCUUCUACCAGAUAUCCCCCCAUUAAUAUU